GACGAACGCUGGCGGCGUGCUUAACACAUGCAAGUCGAACGGAAAGGCCCUGCUUUUGUGGGGUGCUCGAGUGGCGAACGGGUGAGUAACACGUGAGUAACCUGCCCUUGACUUUGGGAUAACUUCAGGAAACUGGGGCUAAUACCGGAUAGGAGCUCCUGCUGCAUGGUGGGGGUUGGAAAGUUUCGGCGGUUGGGGAUGGACUCGCGGCUUAUCAGCUUGUUGGUGGGGUAGUGGCUUACCAAGGCUUUGACGGGUAGCCGGCCUGAGAGGGUGACCGGCCACAUUGGGACUGAGAUACGGCCCAGACUCCUACGGGAGGCAGCAGUGGGGAAUAUUGCACAAUGGGCGGAAGCCUGAUGCAGCAACGCCGCGUGCGGGAUGACGGCCUUCGGGUUGUAAACCGCUUUCGCCUGUGACGAAGCGUGAGUGACGGUAAUGGGUAAAGAGGCACUGGCUAACUACGUG
rnacentral:rRNA from 1 species